CAGUAUAUAAGACUUCCUUUUUCUCCAUAAUCUUGCCAGCAUCUGUUACUUUUUGACUUUUUAAUAACAGGGGGCUUAUGUUUGUGGGGAAGGGCAUUAGUGACAACUGAGGCUCUACAGAACAGUCCUGAGACAAUGUACAGCUCCAUUUCAGUAAAGAAGGAUGAGAGUUUUUCUAGAAAGUUAUUGAGGAAGGAAAAACAAGUCAUCUCUGGAUUAUGUUGAAGGGAAUGUCUUAAACAUGACAGCAAACAUCUUUUCUCUAACCGCUAAUACUUAAAAUUACGUGCUUUUAAUACUUCCUACUGAGUUCCAAAGAGGCAAUAUGAUGAUCACACAGUAACUUUUACACAACAGGAGGUAUACAAAAGCUCUGCCAUGAAAUUCCAGGUUUUCUGUCUCAUGUGACUUAUCUCCAGCUAAGCAGAGCUAGAACCUAUUACUACUCUGGAGGGCCCUGGAACAGAAAUUCAUGUGAUUCUUCCUUAUAUACAUGCUUUCCUAAAGAGUGAAUAUUAAGGUGUCCUUUUGCUGAUACAAAACAAGCAACCAGGUACACUCAUGCAAACACAUUUUCCCAGGACAAACCACAGAGGAAAAACUGUUGGAAUAGGUUUAAUGAAAACAUCUUUCCAGCUCAGAAUUUCUUAAAGAGAUCCAGCUUUCUUAUGGAAAACAGCCCAGGAUUCAUAGAAAAAAUAUUGAACUAUUCUUCUUUUCGUUGAUCAGUGUUGCUUUGCCAAAGAAGACACUGGCUGUCUUGUUUACUGAAGAGUGGAAGAAAGAGAGGAAGAGGAAGAGGGAGAGAGAACGGGGGUAUUGCUUUAUUGCCUGGGCUAGAAUGCAGUCUAAAAAAUGGGUAUACCUAUAAUUGUGCUUCAUAAUAGAGA